rnacentral:rRNA from 1 species
UGGGGGAUAUUGCACAAUGGGCGAAAGCCUGAUGCAGCGACGCCGCGUGGGGGAUGAAGGCCUUCGGGUUGUAAACUUCUUUUGCUCUGAACAAGGCAUGCCUUUGGGGUGUGUUGAGUGUAGGGGUUGAUUAGCGCCGGCUAACUACGUGCCAGCAGCCGCGGUAAUACGUAGGGCGCGAGCGUUGUCCGGAAUUAUUGGGCGUAAAGGGCUUGUAGGUGGCUGGUUGCGUCUGUCGUGAAAGCUCAUGGCUUAACUGUGGGUUUGCGGUGGGUACGGGCUGGCUUGAGUGCAGUAGGGGGGGCUGGAAAUCCUGGUGUGGCGGUGGAAUGCGCAGAUAGCAGGAGGAAUACCGGUGGCGAAGGCGGGUCUCUGGGCUGUUACUGACGCUGAGGAGCGAAAGCGUGGGGAGCGAACAGG